AUGUCUGAUACCCUGGAGGAACAGGUUAGGGCUUUGACGGAGCUGGUUAAACAGCUUCAAGCUGAUAACCAGCAACUUAGAGGGCAAGCAGGUCCUUCAAAUAUAUCAGACUCUGACCAGGAUCUUCCCAACAAUCCUACUAGGCCAACCCCUGUUGAGCGUCUGGUGUGUGUACCACGAGAAAGAAAAUGUUCAAGGUUUUCGGGUAAAAUGUCUGUUGAUAAUAUGUCUGUAGAGGACUGGAUUGAGGAAGCAAAGCGGUCAUUGGCAGUCCGUUCUAUGUCUAAACUUGAGCAGGCUUUGUUUUUGUACGAUGUCUUGGAUGGGGAAGCUAAGCGGGAGAUAAAGUUUAGUCCAGCAGCUGAUCGCAAUGACCCACAGAGAAUUUUUACCAUCUUGAAAAAUAACUUCCGUUGCUCCAAAUCUCUUAAUGCUUUGUACCGCCAGUUUUAUCACCGCCGGCAGUUUGAAAGUGAAUCUGUGAGGGAAUAUUCCCAUGUUUUAAUGGAGUUAAUGGAACAGAUAAAGGAGAGGGACGAGGAUUUAGAGCAGUCGGAUCGCAUCCUCCGUGACCAGUUUGUCGAAGGUCUCCGUAAUGAUAAACUUCAGGGUGACUUGCUGGAUAGAAUCUCAGCCAACCAGCGUUUACAUUUUAGGGAUAUACGCAAUGAAGCUCUUGAUUGGCUUAAUAGGCGCACACAGACCACCCCCCGAGCCCGUGCAUAUUCCUGCAAUUCCUAUGAGGCAGACACUAAUGCAGUUACAGCCAGUCCCUCCUCUGAGUUGACAGAGCUGAAGGAGUGCCUUCGCAAACAGCAGUCCCAGCUAGAUGCAAUUUUAACUCAACUAGGACAGUCACGCAGUAUUACCAGUUCCACUUACAGACCGGCAGCAGCUCAGCCUAGGCCCUACAAAUUCCAGGCAGAUGGGAAGCCCAUAUGCCUACGUUGUAAUCAAGCUGGCCAUAUAGCUAGAAUGUGCAGGGCUUUCAUUCCAGGGGGUCAGGGGGUGGCAACACGGAGUGACUACCAUGGGGGAGAGCAGACGGGGGCAUCCGCCAACAGUGUGAUGAGGCAGGAAAACUAG
rnacentral:lncRNA from 1 species